CGAGUGAAGAGGAAAGAGCUCAAAGUUGGAAACUGUUUGGCUUAGCUAAACCGUAUUGUAAACUGUAGAAACAUUUUCCUGGCACACCAGAUUAAUAAGUCCUUUGGAACAAGGCAUCAUGGAGGGUGAGAAUCCCGUCUUUGAUCUGAGUAGUUGUCUUUUGUGAUAUGUUUUCAAAGAGUCAGGUUGUUUGGGAAUGCAGCCUAAAUUGGGUGGUAAAUCUCACCUAAAGCUAAAUAUUUGCGAGAGACCGAUAGCGAACAAGUACCGUGAGGGAAAGAUGAAAAGAACUUUGAAAAGAGAGUUAAACAGUAUGUGAAAUUGUUAAAAGGGAACCGUUUGGAGCCAGACUGGUUUGACUGUAAUCAACCUAGAAUUCGUUUUGGGUGCACUUGCAGUCUAUACCUGCCAACAACAGUUUGAUUUGGAGGAAAAAAUUAGUAGGAAUGUGGCCUUUCGAGGUGUUAUAGCCUACUAUCAUACUCUGGAUUGGACUGAGGAACGCAGCGAAUGCCAUUAGGCGAGAUUGCUGGGUGCUUUCGCUAAUAAAUGUUAGAAUUUCUGCUUCGGGUGGUGCUAAUGUUUAAAGGAGGAACACAUCUAGUAUAUUUUUUAUUCGCUUAGGUUGUUGGCUUAAUGACUCUAAAUGACCCGUCUUGAAACACGGACCAAGGAGUCCACCAUAAGUGCAAGUAUUUGAGUGACAAACUCAUAUGCGUAAGGAAACUGAUUGAUACGAAGUCUUACGAUGGCAGUAUCACCCGGCGUUGACGUUUUAUACUGAACUGACCGAGGUAAAGCACUUAUGAUGGGACCCGAAAGAUGGUGAACUAUGCCUGAAUAGGGUGAAGCCAGAGGAAACUCUGGUGGAGGCUCGUAGCGAUUCUGACGUGCAAAUCGAUCGUCAAUUUGG
rnacentral:rRNA from 1 species